rnacentral:rRNA from 1 species
UCGAUGGCCUUUAUGCCCAGGGCUACACACGUGCGUACAAAUGGGUGGUACAAAGAGCAGCCAGCUACGCGAGAGUGAGGCAAAUCUCCAAAAAGCCAUCCUCAGUUCGGAUUGGAGUCUGCAGCUCGACUCCAUGAAGUCGGAAUCGCUAGUAAUCGCGGAUCAGCACGCCGCGGUGAAUACGUUCCCGGGCCUU